rnacentral:rRNA from 1 species
UGACCGCUGGCGGCGUGCCUACUACAUGCAAGUCGAGCGAACAGACGAGGAGCUUGCUCCUCUGACGUUAGCGGCGGACGGGUGAGUAACACGUGGAUAACCUACCUAUAAGACUGAGAUAACUUCGGGAAACCGGAGCUAAUACCGGAUAAUAUAUUGAACCGCAUGGUUCAAUAGUGAAAGACGGUUUUGCUGUCACUUAUAGAUGGAUCCGCGCCGCAUUAGCUAGUUGGUAAGGUAACGGCUUACCAAGGCGACGAUGCGUAGCCGACCUGAGAGGGUGAUCGGCCACACUGGAACUGAGACACGGUCCAGACUCCUACGGGAGGCAGCAGUAGGGAAUCUUCCGCAAUGGGCGAAAGCCUGACGGAGCAACGCCGCGUGAGUGAUGAAGGUCUUCGGAUCGUAAAACUCUGUUAUUAGGGAAGAACAAAUGUGUAAGUAACUAUGCACGUCUUGACGGUACCUAAUCAGAAAGCCACGGCUAACUACGUG